GCCGCGGUGGUGAAACUGGCAGACACGCAGCGUUCAGAGCGCUGUAUCCGCAAGGGUGUGUGGGUUCAAAUCCCACCCGCGGCACCA
rnacentral:tRNA from 1 species